UGUCAAUUCAAAUGCUUUUACAACAAAGAGAUGAAAGAGCUCAAGUAGAACAAUAUAUGCGACUAGUUGCUUUUUGGAACACAGAAAAAUCAAAGGAAAGAAGUGAAAAGAAUAAAAAUGCAAGAAAGCAAAGGAUAAUGAAUCAAACCACAGGAAGGACAUCUUUUUCUCAAGUGCAACAAACAUUGGAAAAAGAAAAGGGACAUCCUCCAACACGAGUUGAAUUAUUUCAUGCAUGUUUUACGCAUGCUAAUGGAACUCCCUCAAGUAAUAUUGUAAAAGAAAGAUUGGUAAGAUGC